UACGUAGGUGGCGAGCGUUAUCCGGAUUUAUUGGGUGUAAAGGGUGCGUAGACGGGAAAUUAAGUUAGUUGUGAAAUCCCUCGGCUUAACUGAGGAACUGCAACUAAAACUGAUUUUCUUGAGUACUGGAGAGGCAGACGGAAUUCCUAGUGUAGCGGUGGAAUGCGUAGAUAUUAGGAGGAACACCAGUGGCGAAGGCGAGUUGCUGGACUGUAACUGACACUGAGGCACGAAAGCGUGGGGAGCAAACAGG
rnacentral:rRNA from 1 species